rnacentral:lncRNA from 1 species
GCAGAGCUCUGGGAAUCUCACCAUGGCCUGGACCCCUCUCCUGCUCCCCCUCCUCACUUUCUGCACAGUCUCUGAGGCCUCCUAUGAGCUGACACAGCCACCCUCGGUGUCAGUGUCCCCAGGACAAACGGCCAGGAUCACCUGCUCUGGAGAUGCAUUGCCAAAAAAAUAUGCUUAUUGGUACCAGCAGAAGUCAGGCCAGGCCCCUGUGCUGGUCAUCUAUGAGGACAGCAAACGACCCUCCGGGAUCCCUGAGAGAUUCUCUGGCUCCAGCUCAGGGACAAUGGCCACCUUGACUAUCAGUGGGGCCCAGGUGGAGGAUGAAGCUGACUACUACUGUUACUCAACAGACAGCAGUGGUAAUCAUAGCACAGUGACACUGGCAGAUGGGGAAGAAAUUCACUUUAGGAAGUCAGCCCAAGGCUGCCCCCUCGGUCACUCUGUUCCCACCCUCCUCUGAGGAGCUUCAAGCCAACAAGGCCACACUGGUGUGUCUCAUAAGUGACUUCUACCCGGGAGCCGUGACAGUGGCCUGGAAGGCAGAUAGCAGCCCCGUCAAGGCGGGAGUGGAGACCACCACACCCUCCAAACAAAGCAACAACAAGUACGCGGCCAGCAGCUACCUGAGCCUGACGCCUGAGCAGUGGAAGUCCCACAAAAGCUACAGCUGCCAGGUCACGCAUGAAGGGAGCACCGUGGAGAAGACAGUGGCCCCUACAGAAUGUUCAUAGGUUCUCAUCCCUCACCCCCCACCACGGGAGACUAGAGCUGCAGGAUCCCAGGGGAGGGGUCUCUCCUCCCACCCCAAGGCAUCAAGCCCUUCUCCCUGCACUCAAUAAACCCUCAAUAAAUAUUCUCAUUGUC